AAACUGCCUGAUGGAGGGGGAUAACUACUGGAAACGGUAGCUAAUACCGCAUAACGUCGCAAGACCAAAGAGGGGGACCUUCGGGCCUCUUGCCAUCAGAUGUGCCCAGAUGGGAUUAGCUAGUAGGUGGGGUAACGGCUCACCUAGGCGACGAUCCCUAGCUGGUCUGAGAGGAUGACCAGCCACACUGGAACUGAGACACGGUCCAGACUCCUACGGGAGGCAGCAGUGGGGAAUAUUGCACAAUGGGCGCAAGCCUGAUGCAGCCAUGCCGCGUGUAUGAAGAAGGCCUUCGGGUUGUAAAGUACUUUCAGCGGGGAGGAAGGUGUUGUGGUUAAUAACCACAGCAAUUGACGUUACCCGCAGAAGAAGCACCGGCUAACUCCGUGCCAGCAGCCGCGGUAAUACGGAGGGUGCAAGCGUUAAUCGGAAUUACUGGGCGUAAAGCGCACGCAGGCGGUCUGUCAAGUCGGAUGUGAAAUCCCCGGGCUCAACCUGGGAACUGCAUUCGAAACUGGCAGGCUGGAG
rnacentral:rRNA from 1 species